UACGGGGGGUGCGAGCGUUGUCCGGAAUCACUGGGCGUAAAGGGCGCGUAGGUGGCUUGAUAAGGGUGUGGUGAAAGUCCGGAGCUCAACUCCGGAUCUGCCGUGCCGACUGUCAAACUCGAGGGCUGUGGAGGCAGACGGAAUUCCGGGUGUAGCGGUGGAAUGCGUAGAGAUCCGGAGGAAGACCGGUGGCGAAGGCGGUCUGCUGGGCAGUUUCUGACACUGGAGGCG
rnacentral:rRNA from 1 species